GACGAACGCUGGCGGCGUGCCUAAUACAUGCAAGUCGAACGCAGUGGGGACGGGUGAGUAACACGUGGGUAACCUCCCAUCAGAGGGGAUAACACUUGGAAAUAGGUGCUAAACCGAUCUUGAUGGAUGGACCCGGUGUGCAUUAGCUAGUUGGUGAGGUAACGGCUCACAAAGGCCCCGAUGCAUAGCCGACGUGAACGGAGGAUCGGCCACACUGGUACUGAGACACAGCCCAGACACAGACGGGAGGCAGCAGUAGGGAAUGUUCGGCAAUGGGCGAAAGUCUGACCGAGCAACGCGGCGUGAGUGAAGAAGGUUUUCGGAUCGUAAAACUCUGUUGUUAAAGAGGCGGUAUCUAACCAGAAAGCCACGGCUAACUCCGUGCCAGCCGCCGCGGUAAUAC
rnacentral:rRNA from 1 species